CCGUGCCCAAGAGAUCGGGAUAACACCUGGAAACAGAUGCUAAUACCGGAUAACAACAGAUGAUGCCUAUCAACUGUUUAAAAGAUGGUUCUGCUAUCACUCUUGGAUGGACCUGCGGUGCAUUAGCUAGUUGGUAGGGUAACGGCCUACCAAGGCGAUGAUGCAUAGCCGAGUUGAGAGACUGAUCGGCCACAUUGGGACUGAGACACGGCCCAAACUCCUACGGGAGGCAGCAGCA
rnacentral:rRNA from 1 species